CUACGGGGCGCUCCAGUAAGGAAUAUUGCGCAAUGGAGGCAACUCUGACGCAGCCAUGCCGCGUGCAGGAAGAAGGCCUUAUGGGUCGUAAACUGCUUUUAUUUAGGAAUAACCCCCUGCUCGUGAGCAGGGCUGAAGGUACUAAAAGAAUAAGCACCGGCUAACUCCGUGCCAGCAGCCGCGGUAAUACGGAGGGUGCAAGCGUUAUCCGGAUUUAUUGGGUUUAAAGGGUGCGCAGGCGGGCUAUUAAGUCAGUGGUGAAAUCCCGGGGCUCAACUCCGGAACUGUCAUUGAUACUGAUAGUCUUGAGUUUGGUUGAAGUGGGCGGAAUGUAGCAUGUAGCGGUGAAAUGCAUAGAUAUGCUACAGAACACCAAUCGCGAAGGCAGCUCACUAAGCCAAAACUGACGCUCAUGCACGAAAGCGUGGGGAGCAAACAGGAUUAGAUACCCUCGUAGUC
rnacentral:rRNA from 1 species